GACGAACGCUGGCGGCAUGCCUAAUACAUGCAAGUCGAGCGAUCAGAUGAAGUGCUUGCACUUCUGACGUUAGCGGCGAACGGGUGAGUAACACGUAAGGAAUCUACCUAUAAGCGGGGGAUAACAUUCGGAAACGGGUGCUAAUACCGCAUAAUAUCUUCUUCCGCAUGGAAGAAGAUUGAAAGACGGCUCUGCUGUCACUUAUAGAUGACCUUGCGGUGCAUUAGUUAGUUGGUGGGGUAACGGCCUACCAAGACGAUGAUGCAUAGCCGGCCUGAGAGGGUGAUCGGCCACAUUGGGACUGAGACACGGCCCAAACUCCUACGGUGGGCAGCAGUAGGGAAUCUUCCGCAAUGGGCGAAAGCCUGACGGAGCAAUGCCGCGUGAGUGAAGAAGGCCUUCGGGUCGUAAAACUCUGUUAUAAGAGAAGAACAAAUUGUAGAGUAACUGCUACAGUCUUGACGGUAUCUUAUCAGAAAGCCACGGCUAACUACGUGCCAGCCGCCGCGGUAA
rnacentral:rRNA from 1 species